UGUAGGAGUGAGCCUGCUCGCGAUAGCGGUAUGUCAGUCGGCAUAAAUAUUGACUGAUCCACCGCUAUCGCGAGCAGGCUCACUCCUACA
rnacentral:misc_RNA from 1 species